GGAAAUGCAGCUCAGUGGUGGAGUGUGUGCUUAGCACACAGGAGGUCCUGGGUUCAAUCCCCAGUACCUCCA
rnacentral:tRNA from 1 species